rnacentral:lncRNA from 1 species
AUAUACUCAACAUAUGUCCAUAUACAACCCAUGCUUAACUUUAAAAGAACACAUGUCAUUUCAUUACCAUAGGACCUCUACCUAAUAUAACCUUAAGACACACUUGAGUGAGACAAGAAGUGACCGCCCACACAACCUCUUCAAGCACACUUAAGUGUUCCCCAAGAUUACCUUAGAUAAGGACAUUUCAUUUACAACAUAACAUCAAU